rnacentral:tRNA from 1 species
AUUUAAAUAGUUUAAUAAAAACGUUGGUUUGUGAUACCAGAAUUAUAAUUUUAUUUUAAAUA